AAAUUUGAAAUCUAGCACCUUCGGUGUUCGAGUUGUAAUUUGAAGAUGGUAACCUUGGGUUUGGCUCUUGUCUAUGUUCCUUGGAACAGGACGUCAUAGAGGGUGAGAAUCCCGUCUGAUGAGAUGCCCAUUCCUAUGUAAGGUGCUAUCGAAGAGUCGAGUUGUUUGGGAAUGCAGCUCUAAGUGGGUGGUAAAUUCCAUCUAAAGCUAAAUAUUGGCGAGAGACCGAUAGCGAACAAGUACAGUGAUGGAAAGAUGAAAAGAACUUUGAAAAGAGAGUGAAAAAGUACGUGAAAUUGUUGAAAGGGAAGGGCAUUAGAUCAGACUUGGUGUUUUACGAUUAUCUUCUCUUCUUGAGCUGUGCACUCGUAUUUCACUGGGCCAGCAUCGAUUCGGAUGGCAAGAUAAUGGCAGUUGAAUGUGGCUUCACUUCGGUGGAGUGUUAUAGCUUCUGCUGAUAUUGCCUGUCUGGAUCGAGGGCUGCGUCUUUUGACUAGGAUGCUGGCGUAAUGAUCUAAUGCCGCCCGUCUUGAAAC
rnacentral:rRNA from 1 species